AGGCACUUCAUCACCAGAAGACACCAAUAGCACAACGCUACCUACAAAUAAGACUUCUAUUCCAACUUCUGAAGUCUCCAAGCUCGUCAUCUGAUACUCCCAAGAAUGAUAAAAGUAUGGAUUAUUG